GAUUGUAGGCUGAAACUCGCCUACAUGAAGCUGGAGUUACUAGUAAUCGCAGAUCAGAAUGCUGCGGUGAAUGCGUUCCCGGGUCUUGUACACACCGCCCGUCACACCACGGGAGUUGGAGACGCCCAAAGCCGAUUAUCUAAUCUUUUGGAAGAAGUCGUCGAAGGUGGAAUCAAUAACUGGGGUGAAGUCGUAACAAGGUAGCCGUAUCGGAAGGUGCGGCUGGAUCACCUCCUUUCUA
rnacentral:rRNA from 1 species